GCCUCAUUGGCUCAGGGGCAAAACAUCUGUGUUGUUAACAAAAGGCUUUUGUAAACAGAAAGUUGCUGAUUCGAUUCCAGCAUGAGGCA
rfam:Angiostrongylus cantonensis strain Taiwan genome assembly, scaffold: ACAC_contig0011190